AUUGAACGCUGGCGGCAUGCCUUACACAUGCAAGUCGAACGGCAGCACGGACUUCGGUCUGGUGGCGAGUGGCGAACGGGUGAGUAAUAUAUCGGAACAUACCCUAGAGUGGGGAAUAACGUAGCGAAAGUUACGCUAAUACCGCAUACGAUCUAAGGAUGAAAGCGGGGGAUCGCAAGACCUCGUGCUCAUGGAGUGGCCGAUAUCUGAUUAGCUAGUUGGUGAGGUAAAGGCUCACCAAGGCGACGAUCAGUAGCUGGUUUGAGAGAACGACCAGACAGACUGGAACUUGGACACGGUCCAGACUCCUACGGGAGGCAGCAGUGGGGAAUUUUGGACAAUGGGCGCAAGCCUGAUCCAGCAAUGCCGCGUGAGUGAAGAAGGCCUUCGGGUUGUAAAGCUCUUUUGUCAGGGAAGAAACGGUUGUGGCUAAUAUCCAUGGCUAAUGACGGUACCUGAAGAAUAAGCACCGGCUAACUACGUGCCAGCCGCCGCGGUAAGAC
rnacentral:rRNA from 1 species